rnacentral:rRNA from 1 species
CGAAUGCUGACGUGAGUAACGACAAAACGGGUGAAAAACCCGUUCGCCGAAAGACCAAGGGUUCCAGUCCAACGUUAAUCGGGGCUGGGUGAGUCGACCCCUAAGGCGAGGCCGAAAGGCGUAGUCGAUGGGAAAAUGGUUAAUAUUCCAUUACUUCUGUGUAAUGCGAUGAGAGGACGGAGAAGGCUAAAUCAGCCUGGCGUUGGUUGUCCAGGUGAAAGGAUGUAGGCAUGUAUCUUAGGCAAAUCCGGGGUACUCUAUGCUGAGAUCUGAUAGCAAGCUGUACUUGUACAGCGAAGUGGUUGAUGCCAUGCUUCCAGGAAAAGUCUCUAAGCUUCAGUUACACAGGAAUCGUACCCGAAACCGACACAGGUGGUCAGGUCGAGUAGACCAAGGCGCUUGAGAGAACUCUGCUGAAGGAACUAGGCAAAAUGGUACCGUAACUUCGGGAGAAGGUACGCUGUUGUUGGUGAUGGAACUCGCUUCCUGAGCUGACGACAGCCGCAGAAACCAGGCCGCUGCAACUGUUUAUUAAAAACAUAGCACUCUGCAAACACGAAAGUGGACGUAUAGGGUGUGAUGCCUGCCCGGUGCUGGAAGGUUAAUUGAUG